GCCGGGAAGACGCCUGCGCUAGGAGCCCCUCACCCCACGCAGCCUGUACCACACCGUGUGAUAACUGUGAUUACUCCCCUGUAUUCUCCGCGAGACUGUGAAUGCCUUGAGGGCAGCUUCUGUGUCUCUCCUGGUGGGAAUUUCAUUUACACUAAAAUGUACUCAAUACUUUACUGACAACAUAUGUACAUUUAUAGAUUCACUUAACACCUAUCAAUCAAGGAAAAACAUCUUCUUUUUCGUCACUCAGAGAACUAAGAAACACUCCCAGGGGUUUCUACUCAGGAAGCCAGCACUUUCCACUGGCAGAGCACACUCUUCCCACCACAUCAUGCUGCCCAUGGGAUGAUCUCUAAGAAAGGAGACAGCAUGUGAUGGAGGACGAACCAGACCUGGGUUCAUCUCUGGGUUAUAUGCUUUUUUGGUUGUGUGAAACCAGGAAAAUUCGUGUAUUGGUCUGGGAUUUUUUUGUUUGUUUUUUUAAAGAAUUAACCUUUCUAGGGACUUCCCUGGUGGCUCAGUGGUUAAAAAUCCACCUGCCAAUGCAGGGGACACGGGUUCGAGGCCUGGUCUGGGAAGAUCACACAUGCCGCAGAGCAACUAAGCCCGUGUGCCACAACUACUGAGCCUGCGCUCCAGAGCCCGUGCGAACCACAACUACUGAGCCUGUGUGCCACAACUACUGAAGCCCACACGCCUAGAGCCGGUGCUCCGCAACAAGAGAAGCCACUGCAAUGAGAAGCCUGCGCACCGCAACAAAGAGGAGCCCACGCUUGCCACAACUAGGGAAAGCCCGCGCACAGCAACGAAGACCCAAAGCAGCCAAAAAUAAAUAAAUAAUUUUUUAAAAAGUUUUUAAAAAAUUAACCUUUCUAAUUUGAGAUAAUUCUAGAUUCACGUAGAGAUCUCAUAAACUUUUUUCCCAGUUUCCUCCAAUGAUAACAUUUUGCAAAACUAUAGUACAGUAUCACAACUGGGUGAUAUCACAUUGAUAAAGUCAAGCUACAGAACAGUUCUGUCACUACAAGUAUCCUUCAUGUUGCCAUUUCCUCCAUCGCUGACACCUGUUUGUGAAUAAAUUUUUCUGUGGGCAUAUGUGUUCAUUUCUUUUGCGUAAAUAUUGAGAAUUGGAACGGCUGGAUUGUAUGGUAAAUGUAUGUUUAAGUUUCUGAGGUACUGCCAUAUGUUUUUUCAAAAUGGCCAUACCAUUUGGCAUUCCCAUCAGAAAUAUGUGAGAGUUCCAGUUGCUCCAGAUCCAUGCAAGCACUUGGUACUGUCAACCUUUUAAAAAAAAUUGUAGUAAAAUUCACACAACACACCAUCUUAACCAGUUUUAAGUGGACAGUUCAGUGGUACUAAGUGCUUUCAGUGUUGUGCAACCAUCAUCACCAUAUAUCUCAGAACCUCUUCAUCUUGCAAAUGGACACUCUGUACCCAUUAAAGAAUAAUUUCCCCUUCUUUCCACCCACAGCCUCUGGCCACCACCCUUCUGCUUUCUCGGUGAUUUUGACUACUCUAUGUACCUUUCACAUUUUAGUUACUGUGAAUAACGCUACUAUGAACAUGGGUGCACAAAUAUAUCUUCAGGACACUGCUUUCAGUCUUUCUGGUACAUACCCAGAAGCGGGAUUGCUGGGUCAUAUGGUAAUUAUGAAGAACCACCAUACUGUUUUUCACAGCAACUAUACCAUUUUACAUUCCUACCAACAGUGCACAGGGUUCCUAUUUUCCCACAUCCUUGCCAACAUUUUUUUCCCUUCCCUGCCCUCCCUUCCUCUCCCUUCCCUUCCUCCCCACUUUCCUUCAUAGUAGUCAUCCUAAUGGGACUGAGGUGAUAUCCCAUUGUGGUUUUGAUUUGGGAACUGGGAUCUUACUUGUCAACCACAGAAGCUGCUAGUUCCUUAAACUAGCUAGUUUAAGGAUUUAUUAAGGGAUAUUAAAUAGUUUGGAGAAUCUCUGGGAGAGUCAGAGUCAGAUCUGGAGCCUACGCAGCCAGAAACAAUACCAAAACCACUAUGUGGGACUGCCUCAGCCAGACCUCAGUGCUGCUGCCACUGGUGCUGUAGAUGAGUGGACACUACACACAAGAUGCUCCACCAUUCCUGCCACUGAAGACCGGACUCCUCGUCACCAUCCAAGCCAGAAAAAAUGGAGUCAACACAGCACCUGCUUCCUCAUGCUGCUCUUUUUUUGACUGAGACUUGUGUGAGUACGCCUGCCUGGGAGAGCCUGCACUCUAGCUGCCAAGGUGCCGAGCAAGAGAGUUUGGGCUUCUGCCUUGGGGAGUCCAGAUUCACAAUGUGGGAAAUUACUCUGAUGUAGGAAGGGUUUUCAAAGACAGUCACAAAGCAUGAGAAAUACCUACUGUACUUUUCUACCCUAUUUCUAAAUAUAUAACUUUUUAUAUUAUAAAAAGUUUAUGAGUAUAUACAUUUAUAAAUAUGAAUAGGGUGAUAAUAGCUACCUCACUGACUUGUUUUAAAGAUGAAAUGAAAUCCCACAUGUAAAGUUUGUAACACAGUUUCUGGCACAUUGCAGAUGCCAAUGAUGUUAUCCUUGUUUCCCUCAAUAAAAUGUAAGCUGUGAGUUA